UCGGGAAUUUUGGGCAAUGGGCGAAAGCCUGACCCAGCAACGCCGCGUGAAGGAUGAAAUCCCUCGGGAUGUAAACUUCGCAAGAACGGGAAGAAUAAGUAGGGGACAAUACCCCCUAUGAUGACGGUACCGUUUGUAAGCUCCGGCUAACUCCGUGCCAGCAGCCGCGGUAAUACGGGGGGAGCAAGCGUUGUUCGGAUUUACUGGGCGUAAAGGGCGCGUAGGCGGCCAGUGCAAGUCAGUUGUGAAAUCUCCGAGCUUAACUCGGAAAGGUCAACUGAUACUGCUCGGCUAGAGUGCGGAAGGGGCAACUGGAAUUCUUGGUGUAGCGGUGAAAUGCGUAGAUAUCAAGAGGAACACCUGCGGCGAAGGCGGGUUGCUGGGCCGACACUGACGCUGAGGCGCGAAAGCUAGGGGAGCGAACGGG
rnacentral:rRNA from 1 species